UCUCUACACUUGAUUUACAAACUCAAUGAAGGAAUCUUGGCCCUAUCACUUUGAAAUCUGAUUUGAUCUGGUAGCCAAACUUUGAACCAUUUUGUUAGUCGGAUAGCAUAUCCACAUCAUCUGAAUUUUUUUUUAUCGAGCUACACAAGAUCCAAUCUUUGUUGAUCUCUAUUCAAUCCUAGCAUCUUUAGUGAUCUUAAUUAAAUAAAAAUAUUUGAUGGAGCUAGUCCCUAAUUAUUGG
rnacentral:lncRNA from 1 species